UAUGUAUAUUUCCCUUGCAGUAUCGUUGAUUGUGUAGUCAGAAAAAAUGCAUCUAUGGAAAUAUGUGAUAAAUCUUAAAUAAUCAGCUUGAAAGCUAUACAACUGCUUGAAACUAUCGACUUGCAUUAAGAUGGAUCUUUUUCGUCAGCUACUACAAGUUCAAAUCCACCGUCUACCUGCAUUGACGCCAUCAUAGAUGCAACAGUACCGCCACUACGCAAUUCAAGUUUUUUCCAUUGGGUCCAUCUUUUAGUUGAACUAACAUCAUUUGGAGUAGAAUCUCUACUUUUUCUAGCAAUUGUAACUGUAAUGACACCUCCAUCAAUUUUAACCCUUGAUGCCUCAAACCAAGAAAAAUCACUUUGUGUGUUACAACGUCGGCACCAAUACUCAUCUCCUUCUUGUACAAAAGAUUCUCCAGAUACAGGAGGUACAUUAUUAGAUACAUGGAUAUGACGACCCAUUGAUGGGAUAACAAGUUCUCCGUGACAUUUUUUUUCUAGCGUAAAAUGUUUUGUAGAAUCAACACUACCUAGGUACGAUCCAAAUGGUUUUUAAUUUUAAAUCACAUCCAUAGUUCCUGUACCAAAUAGUGGUGCAAGACAUUUAGUCAAGUCAUAAACUUCAACAAACCAAACAUCAG